rnacentral:lncRNA from 1 species
UUUUCCAGAGUCUUCUCCCAUAGCAGGUGAUUUUUUUUAGUGAUAGCUCCCAGACAAGCUUCUAGCAUCCUGAAGGCAGAGGUGUGUGUGCUCUGCAACCAGAACACCCCCAGAGCCUGGAGGCACCUGGCCCAGCAGCUAGCACGCAGUGGGUUUUUAUGUGUAUUAGUGAAUAAAUCAACGUGGUGGCCUUUGAGUUGAGCCUUAACAGACAAAAAAAGGAGUUAAGUAGGUGGCAAAGGGGAUGGCAUAUUUAUUAAUUACUUUGCUUAAUUUAAAUUAUGGAUUUUAAUAGCUAAUAUAGUUAUAUAGUUCAAAAACCAAAGCACUAUAAGACAGAUAUUAAGAAGGCUCACUUUCAUCCUUAUCUCCAUUUAUUCCUUUCCCUAUCUCAUCAUACCCCUCUCCUGCCCACUGCGAGUUACCAUUUUUAUUGAGAUUUAUAUAUUAUUGCAGUAUAUCUUGUGCAAAUAAAACUAUAAACAAAUAUAUUAUCUUACUUUCUCCCCUUUCCUCACAAAUGCUGGUAUACUCAAAAACUGUUCUGCUCUUUUUUUUUUUUUAACUCAACAAUAUAUCCUGGAGAUAUCUCCUGACAGUACAUUGAGAAAGAUCUUUUUCUUCCUACAGCUGCACUGUACUCCAUGGUAUGCUGCUGCUGCUGCUAAGUCACUUCAGUCGUGUCCGACUCUGUGCGACCCCAUAGAUGGCAGCCCACCAGGCUCCCCCGUUCCUGGGAUUCUCCAGGCAAAACUCCAUGGUAUAGAUGCACCCUAUUGGAAAGUACUGCUGAUCAGUGGAAAGGCCUGAAGGUCCUUACACAGCUGUUGCCAAAGAAUGAUUUGUGAAGGCAUCAGGAGGAGGCAGUACUCACCAGAAGUGCUCUGAUGAUCUCUUGGGACCUGGAAACUCUGGGAAGGUAGAGUACCUCACUCAUGGGGCUGUGCCAGCAUCCCCAGGGUGCUUGCUAUUUUGGUAUGAGUUUUAUAGGGACCAUUUAUGAAGAUUUUUCUCUCUGACAUUUAGCCAUGCUGUUUUAUAGCCGUGAAAAAGGAAAGUGAUUUUAAUAAGUUAUGGGAAAAUUAUAGCACAGCGCUUUACAUUCACUCAACACACACUGCUGAAUGAAUUAAUACAUGAGAAUGCCCCUUCCCCACAAUACAGCCUAAGAAACAGAAUUUGAAAACUGUAAGAAACCUUAAAGAUCAUCUGUCUUGGCAUCCCAUGGCACCCACACAUACCCAGUUUUACAGACGAAUAAACUGAGGCCUGGGGACUUUGCCCAAGGUUAUGCAGUUAACUUAAUAGUGAAAAUGAAAGAUACCAAACAAAGAAG